AACGCACAUUGCGCCCUCUGGUAUUCCAGAGGGCAUGCCUGUUUGAGCGUCAUUUCUCUCUCAAACCUUCGGGUUUGGUAUUGAGUGAUACUCUUAGUCGAACUAGGCGUUUGCUUGAAAUGUAUUGGCAUGAGUGGUACUGGAUAGUGCUAUAUGACUUUCAAUGUAUUAGGUUUAUCCAACUCGUUGAAUAGUUUAAUGGUAUAUUUCUCGGUAUUCUAGGCUCGGCCUUACAAUAUAACAAACAAGUUUGACCUCAAAUCAGGUAGGACUACCCGCUGAACUUAA
rnacentral:misc_RNA from 1 species